rnacentral:rRNA from 1 species
UCGAGGAUCUUCGGCAAUGGGGGCAACCCUGACCGAGCGACGCCGCGUGUGCGACGAAGGCCUUCGGGUUGUAAAGCACUGUCGAGGGGGAGAAAGGCCGAAAGGCGUGAUCUAUCCCUGGAGGAAGCUCGGGCUAAGUUCGUGCCAGCAGCCGCGGUAAGACGAACCGAGCGAACGUUGUUCGGAAUAACUGGGCUUAAAGGGCGCGUAGGCGGGCCGCCAAGUUCGAGGUGAAAUCCUCCGGCUCAACCGGAGAACUGCCUCGAAUACUGGAGGCCUCGAGGCGGGUAGGGGCGUGCGGAACUGUGGGUGGAGCGGUGAAAUGCGUUGAUAUCCACAGGAACUCCGGUGGCGAAGGCGGCACGCUGGACCCGAUCUGACGCUGAGGCGCGAAAGCCAGGGGAGCAAACGG